rnacentral:rRNA from 1 species
UACGUAGGGCGCAAGCGUUGUCCGGAAUUAUUGGGCGUAAAGAGCUCGUAGGCGGUUUGUCGCGUCUGCUGUGAAAACCUAAGGCUCAACCUUGGGCUUGCAGUGGGUACGGGCAGACUAGAGUGCGGUAGGGGUGACUGGAAUUCCUGGUGUAGCGGUGGAAUGCGCAGAUAUCAGGAGGAACACCGAGUGGCGAAGGCAGGUCUCUGGGCCGAUACUGACGCUGGAGGAGCGAAAGCCGUGGGGAGCGAACAGG